CGGUGUGUAGCGCAGCUUGGUAGCGCACUGUCAUGGGGUGUCAGGGGUCGGAGGUUCGAAUCCUCUCACACCGACCA
rnacentral:tRNA from 1 species